rnacentral:lncRNA from 1 species
UUACUGUUUAUUUAUUAGUGGUCAGUGCAGUCAGGUAAUAGUAAUUCAGCUUAACUAUAAAAUACCAGGAGGGAUAAUUGAUACUAUUUCUUAGAUAGGAACUCAGGUUCCUAAAAGCCCACCUCUGGAUUAAUACCAGAGGAUCACAGUUGUCUGAGAAGAACUAGAUAAUAAAUAUCUACUUUAACUGAAUUCAUUUUAAAUGGGUACUAAAUUUUAUUAAAAGUGGUGAAAUGUAAUACAAUGAGGAAAUUUUUUCAGAAAUAAAUAUAAAUAUUAUGAAGAUAAAAUUUAUUUGGUAUGUGAUAAAAUUAGAUUAUAAUUGCUUCUGUGGGCUAUUUCUUCAUAAGGUAUGGAUGGAUUAAAUGUUGGCAUUUUGGGUGUAGUAUUUCCAAAAACACUUUAUGGUAGCAUGAUAUUAAAUCCCCCAUUUAUGACUUUUGCAACAAAAUUAUUAAAAGAAACUUAUUCCAAAAGACCAAAAGUCCUUUAAUGAUAAAAUAACUAGAAAUAUACAUCACAUCAUCAUAGCUGUCAGUCUUCUCUUCUGUUCUAUGACAGCAGUUUAGCUACGCCAUUUUGCCAUUGCAAUCAUUUUUGUGAUUUUAGCAUUUCUUUAGUCUCACUGCAUGAAACACAUUUCCUCUCGUGAAAUUUGUGGUAACAUGUUAAAAUCAAUUUGCAUUAAUAUUUCAUAUUAUUCCAAAACAAAUUCAAGUACAACAUCUAUUGAUAAUAAUGAACAGGCGACAGACAAUAAAGAUGUGGUAAGGAGAGAAAGAGACCAGUACUACACAGUACCACACAGAGGAAAAUUGGAGAGAGGACUACUCUUAGAAGUGAUUGUUUUAUUAGUGAAACUUUUUUCAUCUUAGCUUUUCUUCCUUACAUAACCGAACUGUGAAUUGGGGAAUAAUAUUGAGUACCCAUUCAAACAUGAAUUUCUAUAAUUACUACAGCAGUGAAAAAUUUGAUAUAACCUUAAUGUUUCUUAAUAAGGGAUUAAAUACAUUAUAGUGUAUGAUAG